CAGGUCAUGUCUACCACAUUGCAAUAGGCCCUCACACUGGCAUUGUGAGUACAACACCGAUAUGGAGAGUCAAACACAUUGCGGAGUACAGAUCUGUCACUUGGGGAUCAUGACAGCAUGGAUCACUCAAGGUGGUGAGGAUUAAAGGAGAGUCCACUUGGUCUUCUUUGCCCCAAACUGCUUCCUCUUCUCCUUUUCUCGAAUCGUCCACUAGAGGAUUUCUUGACAACUAAAAAGAAGAAAAGAAUUGGAAAUAUCAGAGCCCCUCCCCCCGCAACGCCCACCAGGGCAGGAAAAUGCUCACAUGGGGGGCUGUGUGACUUCCUGGAGCUCCUGCAGCAAGGGGGCCCAGCCAUUCUGAUUCCCCACCCUGCUCCCUGCCCACCACUCAGGGCUGCUCAGCAUGGUUCAGCAGUGCAGACCUGGGUCAGGAGCCAGGGUGACACCAGUAAAGCUGGUGAGGGGGCCAGCAGAGAGACCUGAAAGACAUUGAAGUUGUAAGAAUCUCCAGUACCUGCAUGGCGCCAGGUUCUUUGGAAGAACCAUCCAAAGAGGGAAAGGGGAAGAAACACAAAGUGGAGAUCAAAGUGGGAACCCAGGAUCUGAUGGUGCCCCUGACUACAGACAGCGAGAGACUGAUUCCAGAAUAUACACCUCUUUGGGCGGCACCUGAAGGAAACCAGAGGGAACCCAGUGUUUGGCCCCCACGGUAAGGAAACAGGACGCCUGUAGGAAAUUGUUUUUCCUUGGAGAUGUGUCUGCCCAGUCCACUCAGGAUGGUGCCUACAAAAUUCUUCAUCCAAGAA